GGAACGAACGCUGGCGGCAUGCCUAAUACAUGCAAGUCGAACGAACACUUCGGUGUUAGUGGCGCACGGGUGCGUAACGCGUGGGAAUCUGCCCUUGGGUUCGGAAUAACAGUUGGAAACGACUGCUAAUACCGGAUGAUGACGAAAGUCCAAAGAUUUAUCGCCCAGGGAUGAGCCCGCGUAGGAUUAGCUAGUUGGUGAGGUAAAGGCUCACCAAGGCGACGAUCCUUAGCUGGUCUGAGAGGAUGAUCAGCCACACUGGGACUGAGACAUGGCCCAGACUCCUACGGGAGGCAGCAGUAGGGAAUAUUGGACAAUGGGCGCAAGGCCUGAUCCAGCAAUGCCGCGUGAGUGAUGAAGGCCUUAGGGUUGUAAGUCUCUUUACCCGAGUAUGAUAAUGAGGUAGUACGGAGAAUAACGCCCGUACUAACGUCCGCGCC
rnacentral:rRNA from 1 species